rnacentral:rRNA from 1 species
GAGUUUGAUCCUGGCUCAGGACGAACGCUGGCGGCGCGCCUAACACAUGCAAGUCGAACGGAGUUGAGAGGAGCUUGCUUUUCUUGACUUAGUGGCGAACGGGUGAGUAACGCGUGAGGAACCUGCCUCAAAGAGGGGGACAACAGUUGGAAACGACUGCUAAUACCGCAUAAGCCCACGGUCUCGCAUGAGACAGAGGGAAAAGGAGCAAUCCGCUUUGAGAUGGCCUCGCGUCCGAUUAGCUAGUUGGUGAGGUAACGGCCCACCAAAGCGACGAUCGGUAGCCGGACUGAGAGGUUGAACGGCCACAUUGGGACUGAGACACGGCCCAGACUCCUACGGGAGGCAGCAGU